GCUUGAAUAGUUUAGGUAGAAUAAUAAUUUGUGGUGUUAUAGGUGUAUUUAUACUUCAAGUC
rnacentral:tRNA from 1 species